AUUGAACGCUGGCGGAAUGCUUUACACAUGCAAGUCGAACGGCAGCACGGACUUCGGUCUGGUGGCGAGUGGCGAACGGGUGAGUAAUGUAUCGGAACGUGCCCAGUCGUGGGGGAUAACGUAGUGAAAAUUACGCUAAUACCGCAUACGAACUAUGGAUGAAAGCGGGGGAUCGCAAGACCUCGCGCGAUUGGAGCGGCCGAUAUAAGAUUAGGUAGUUGGUGGGGUAAAGGCCCACCAAGCCAACGAUCUGUAGCUGGUCUGAGAGGACGACCAGCCACACUGGAACUGAGACACGGUCCAGACUCCUACGGGAGGCAGCAGUGGGGAAUUUUGGACAAUGGGAGAAAGCCUGAUCCAGCCAUUCCGCGUGCAGGAUGAAGGCCCUCGGGUUGUAAACUGCUUUUGUAAAGAACGAAAAGGUUUCUACUAAUACUAGGAGCUCAUGACGGUACUGUAAGAAUAAGCACCGGCUAACUACGUGCCAGCAGCCGCAGUAA
rnacentral:rRNA from 1 species